rnacentral:rRNA from 1 species
GCAGAGCAUCCUACGGGAGGCAGCAGUGGGGAAUAUUGCACAAUGGGCGCAAGCCUGAUGCAGCCAUGCCGCGUGUAUGAAGGAAGGCCUUCGGGUUGUAAAAGUACUUUCAGCAGUGAGGAAGGUGGGUAUGUUAAUAGCAUACUCAUUUGACGUUAGCUGCAGAAGAAGCACCGGCUAACUCCGUGCCAGCAGCCGCGGUAAUACGGAGGGUGCGAGCGUUAAUCGGAAUUACUGGGCGUAAAGCGCAUGCAGGUGGUUUGUUAAGUCAGAUGUGAAAGCCCGGGCUCAACCUCGGAAUUGCAUUUGAAACUGGCAAACUAGAGUACUGUAGAGGGGGUAGAAUUUCAGGUGUAGCGGUGAAAUGCGUAGAGAUCUGAAGGAAUACCGGUGGCGAAGGCGGCCCCCUGGACAGAUACUGACACUCAGAUGCGAAAGCGUGGGGAGCAAACAGGAUUAGAUACCCUGGUAG